rnacentral:hammerhead_ribozyme from 1 species
AUUCAAAUGACGAGUCCAAAAUAGGACGAAACGCGCGUCCUGGAU